rnacentral:rRNA from 1 species
UACGAAGGGGGCUAGCGUUGUUCGGAAUUACUGGGCGUAAAGCGUGCGCAGGCGGCUUCUCAAGUCAGGGGUGAAAGCCCAGAGCUCAACUCUGGAAUUGCCUUUGAUACUGAGGGUCUUGAGUCCGGGAGAGGUGAGUGGAACUGCGAGUGUAGAGGUGAAAUUCGUAGAUAUUCGCAAGAACACCAGUGGCGAAGGCGGCUCACUGGCCCGGUACUGACGCUGAGGCGCGAAAGCGUGGGGAGCAAACAGG